UUGGGGAGGGGGCCCCCACUGAAGCAGCAGAUGCAGGGGGUAGUUUCUGACUGCAAGGUGAAGAGGACUCAUUACUGGCAGAGGCUGCAGAGAAGAGGAGCAGGCCAGCCAUGGUCCUGGACUAGGGAUUAUCUUUAUAAAUUAUUUCUAAAAAUUAUACAACCAGCACCCUACGUGGUACCUUAACUCAAAGACUACAGCCGUGGUUCUCCAUGCAGUCCCUGGACCUGCAGUGUUACCUGGAGACUUAUGGAGAACACUCAGGGGCCCACCCCAGACCCUCCAGAGCAGACACACUGCAGGUGGCCCCCGGCAAGCAGUGUUUAAACAACUCCCUCCAGGGGAUUCUGAGACUCUUGGAACACAGAGACCCUGGAACAAUGGAAGGUGAAAAAAUGGAGAGUCAGAGUUUGCUGUGCCUUUCUUCAACUGUGAGGACCCUUGGGUGAUUCUUCAUGUGUUAGCAGCCACUUCUACUUUUUUCUAAGAGGAAGUUUGGAUGGUCACAGACAGAGGAAGAGCAGGUACACAGGGAGAAGACAGCCACCUACUAGUCGAGGAGAGAAGCCUGGAGCAGAUCCCGCCCUCAACAGCCUCGAGAGGGAACCAACCCUGCCGAUACCUCUAUUGUGGCCCUCCAGCCUCUAGAACUUGGAGAAGACAGGUUUCUGUCACUUGAGCCCCCAACAGUGUUUUAUGGGCUUCCAGGUAAAGAACCCGCCUGCCAAUGCAGGAGAUGUAGAGAUGUGGUUUCAAUCCCUGGGUUGGGAAGAUCCCCUGGAGGAGGGCAUGGCAGCCUACCCCAGUAUUCUUGCCUGGAGAAUCCCGUGGAUGGAGGAGCCUGGUGGGCUACAGUCCACAGGGUCGAGAAGAGUCAGACAUGACUGCAGCACCUGAGCUGGAGCGCGCGCAUGGUGUUUUAUGAGCUCAGCCCCAGCAGACCAAGGCGGGAGCUUCGAAGGGCCUGCUCUGGGCAGUCCAGUCCAGGCCUCCAACUCUCUGGGCCCCAUGCAGGGUGGGGUCAUCUGGGUGUCUUGCUUGCCCCUUACCCGCCGCUGAAGACAAUAACCC